AUAAUGUUUUAUCUCCGACCAACGAUGCCUAAAAGGAAAAGCCUCAUGGCACUUUGGCGGUAGGGUAUAAUUGGAAACGGUUAUGCCUGCCAUUUUUGCAAAGGAGGUAUAAAUGAAAAAA
rnacentral:ncRNA from 2 species